rnacentral:rRNA from 1 species
UACGGAGGAUGCGAGCGUUAUCCGGAUUUAUUGGGUUUAAAGGGUGCGUAGGCGGGCUUUUAAGUCAGCGGUAAAAAUUCGGGGCUCAACCCCGUCCGGCCGUUGUAACUGGGGGUCUUGAGUGGGCGAGAAGAAGGCGGAAUGCGUGGUGUAGCGGUGAAAUGCAUAGAUAUCACGCAGAACCCCGAUUGCGAAGGCAGCCUUCCGGCGCCCUACUGACGCUGAGGCACGAAAGUGCGGGGAUCGAACAGG